rnacentral:sRNA from 1 species
AAUUCCCGAACUCAACAACCUCAUCUCUUCAUCUCUGAUAGUAUGAUUUUUCUCAAUUAAUCCCUAAAACACUAUCUUGUCGUUGUAGUAUUUUAGGAUGUCAAUCCAAUCCGGUGUGAUGCAAACAGAUGAGAUAUGAUCAAAAAACUCUAAGUCAAGCCAAGCAGAAAGUUGGUUGGUUCUAACAGUCCUAGUAUGCAAUAACAGAAAUGAAAUGAAACUAAAAGCAUAAAUGGCAAUAGUAGGCAAGUGAAUGACAAAGCAGAAAUGAUAACAUGCAAUCAAAUGGAUAAACGAUUCCUAAGGAUGGGGUAAUCGAAUAGUGUGGUCUACUUAAUCUAUUCAGGCGGUUGACAAAACUUCACAGAAGCUAUCCCUAGACAACAAGUUCAACAACAGAUUAAUUCACUCCCGUGAUAGAAAUCCUCAAGCAAAGCUAGACACUGACGUAAAUCCCUUUAGCGAUCUCUAACUAAGCAGGCAUUAUCGAAUCAACAUGUUAAAGUCAAUACCCUCUCUACAGCCAAUCCCUUGGGGUAGAGUCAGAUAUCUCUGGAAUUAAUAGGAUCCAACGCCCAUUAAACGCCUUCUGAGCGCUGGACGUCUGGACUCAUACUCCACAUUAGCUAGUGAAACAAGCAAUAAGCGCAACUAAUCCAAAAGGGAUUCUAGUAUUCUAAACUCAACCACCUAAAAC